AGUGAUCGCUGGCGGUAGGCCUAACACAUGCAAGUCGAACGGCAGCACAGUAAGAGCUUGCUCUUACGGGUGGCGAGUGGCGGACGGGUGAGGAAUACAUCGGAAUCUACUUUUUCGUGGGGGAUAACGUAGGGAAACUUACGCUAAUACCGCAUACGACCUACGGGUGAAAGCAGGGGAUCUUCGGACCUUGCGCGAUUGAAUGAGCCGAUGUCGGAUUAGCUAGUUGGCGGGGUAAAGGCCCACCAAGGCGACGAUCCGUAGCUGGUCUGAGAGGAUGAUCAGCCACACUGGAACUGAGACACGGGCCAGACUCCUACGGGAGGCAGCAGUGGGGAAUAUUGGACAAUGGGCGCAAGCCUGAUCCAGCCAUACCGCGUGGGUGAAGAAGGCCUUCGGGUUGUAAAGCCCUUUUGUUGGGAAAGAAAAGCAGCAGGUUAAGACCCCGCUGUUCUGACGGUACCCAAAGAAUAAGCACCGGCUAACUUCGU
rnacentral:rRNA from 1 species